rnacentral:rRNA from 1 species
UACGAAGGGGGCUAGCGUUGUUCGGAAUCACUGGGCGUAAAGCGCACGUAGGCGGAUCUUUAAGUCAGGGGUGAAAUCCCGAGGCUCAACCUCGGAACUGCCUUUGAUACUGGGGAUCUCGAGUCCGGAAGAGGUGAGUGGAACUGCGAGUGUAGAGGUGAAAUUCGUAGAUAUUCGCAAGAACACCAGUGGCGAAGGCGGCUCACUGGUCCGGAACUGACGCUGAGGAGCGAAAGCGUGGGGAGCAAACA